ACACAUGCAAGUCGAACGGUAACAGGAAGCAGCUUGCUGCUUCGCUGACGAGUGGCGGACGGGUGAGUAAUGUCUGGGAAACUGCCUGAUGGAGGGGGAUAACUACUGGAAACGGUAGCUAAUACCGCAUAACGUCGCAAGACCAAAGAGGGGGACCUUCGGGCCUCUUGCCAUCGGAUGUGCCCAGAUGGGAUUAGCUAGUAGGUGGGGUAACGGCUCACCUAGGCGACGAUCCCUAGCUGGUCUGAGAGGAUGACCAGCCACACUGGAACUGAGACACGGUCCAGACUCCUACGGGAGGCAGCAGUGGGGAAUAUUGCACAAUGGGCGCAAGCCUGAUGCAGCCAUGCCGCGUGUAUGAAGAAGGCCUUCGGGUUGUAAAGUACUUUCAGCGGGGAGGAAGGGAGUAAAGUUAAUACCUUUGCUCAUUGACGUUACCCGCAGAAGAAGCACCGGCUAACUCCGUGCCAGCAGCCGCGGUAAUACGGAGGGUGCAAGCGUUAAUCGGAAUUACUGGGCGUAAAGCGCACGCAGGCGGUUUGUUAAGUCAGAUGUGAAAUCCCCGGGCUCAACCUGGGAACUGCAUCUGAUACUGGCAAGCUUGAGUCUCGUAGAGGGGGGUAGAAUUCCAGGUGUAGCGGUGAAAUGCGUAGAGAUCUGGAGGAAUACCGGUGGCGAAAGGCGGCCCCCCUGGACGAAGACUGA
rnacentral:rRNA from 1 species